rfam:Scleropages formosus scaffold3983, whole genome shotgun sequence.
UGUCACCAGGCAGUGUAGUUAGCUGAUUGCAGUGUUCAGUAAUCACUAACUGCACAGCCAGGUGAAG